GGACUAUGCUCACGCUUGCUGUAGACAGAGUGCAGAGACUCGCUCAACACACAGAGUCUCUACACUCUGCCUGCAGGGAGCUUGAUCUGCAGAGUGC
rnacentral:pre_miRNA from 1 species